CCACACCAUCCAUGAUCAGCAGGCAAUAGUUUGAGAAAUGCUUGUAGUUUGCAACUACAAUAUUAGAUUUCAACCCCUAAAAAACCCAAGAAAACCCCAGAUUCGACAAUGUAUUGGAGACCGCCCAGAAGAGACAAGACUGGUAAUUUUUGCUCUAGUAGAGCUUUUCUUUAUUUUUUUUUUUUUUAUUUUAGAAUCGGUAGCCUCGGCUAGUGAUAAAACAUCCUUCCAACAUUAACUGCAAGUAAUCUUAAUAGUUCUUUAAGCCACUAUCAUCAAACACAUUUUGCCAGGGAAGUUGAUUUAUGAAGAUGCCACCACCGGAAAUUGCAUGAUCACUUAACCCUCAAAAAUCGACAAGCAAGGCAUAAUAAUGCGUCUGCUAACCCAUCAUCCCAUGCUUAACGAACAAACUCAACUCAUUACCCAAUACCAGCAGAAACCCCGCAACAUUAAUCACAGUCAAAGUUCUCCAACAAAAAAUAAAUAAAUAAUUCCUCUAACCCCAACUCCAUGUGUGCAAUUAAA
rnacentral:misc_RNA from 1 species